rfam:Schistosoma mansoni, Puerto Rico, WGS project CABG01000000 data, contig: 0041
CUUCUGAUGAGGAGUCCCAUAAUAGGACGAAACGGCCGUCCAGUGC